CGAUUACGGCUCAGUAACACGUGGAGAACCUACCCUUAGGACUGGGAUAACCCUGGGAAACUGGGGAUAAUACUGGAUAGGCAAUUAUUCCUGUAAUGGUUUUUUGUUUAAAUGUUUUUUCGCCUAAGGAUGGGUCUGCGGCCGAUUAGGUAGUUGGUUAGGUAAUGGCUUACCAAGCCUUUGAUCGGUACGGGUUGUGAGAGCAAGAGCCCGGAGAUGGAACCUGAGACAAGGUUCCAGGCCCUACGGGGUGCAGCAGGCGCGAAACCUCCGCAAUGUGAGAAAUCGCGACGGGGGGAUCCCAAGUGCCAUUCUUAACGGGAUGGCUUUUCAUUAGUGUAAAGAGCUUUUGGAAUAAGAGCUGGGCAAGACCGGUGCCAGCCGCCGCGGUAACACCGGCAGCUCUAGUGGUAGCAGUUUUUAUUGGGCCUAAAGCGUCCGUAGCCGGUUUAAUAAGUCUCUGGUGAAAUCCUGCAGCUUAACUGUGGGAAUUGCUGGAGAUACUAU
rnacentral:rRNA from 1 species